CAGUCGACGGUAGCACAGAGAGCUUGCUCUCGGGUGACGAGUGGCGGACGGGUGAGUAAUGUCUGGGAAACUGCCUGAUGGAGGGGGAUAACUACUGGAAACGGUAGCUAAUACCGCAUAACGUCGCAAGACCAAAGAGGGGGACCUUCGGGCCUCUUGCCAUCAGAUGUGCCCAGAUGGGAUUAGCUAGUAGGUGGGGUAACGGCUCACCUAGGCGACGAUCCCUAGCUGGUCUGAGAGGAUGACCAGCCACACUGGAACUGAGACACGGUCCAGACUCCUACGGGAGGCAGCAGUGGGGAAUAUUGCACAAUGGGCGCAAGCCUGAUGCAGCCAUGCCGCGUGUAUGAAGAAGGCCUUCGGGUUGUAAAGUACUUUCAGCGGGGAGGAAGGUGUUGUGGUUAAUAACCGCAGCAAUUGACGUUACCCGCAGAAGAAGCACCGGCUAACUCCGUGCCAGCAGCCGCGGUAAUACGGAGGGUGCAAGCGUUAAUCGGAAUUACUGGGCGUAAAGCGCACGCAGGCGGUCUGUCAAGUCGGAUGUGAAAUCCCCGGGCUCAACCUGGGAACUGCAUUCGAAACUGGCAGGCUAGAGUCUUGUAGAGGGGGGUAGAAUUCCAGGUGUAGCG
rnacentral:rRNA from 1 species